rnacentral:rRNA from 1 species
AAUCUUCCACAAUGGGCGAAAGCCUGAUGGAGCAACGCCGCGUGAGUUAAGAAGGAUUUCUGUUCGUAAAACUCUGUUGUAAGGGAAGAACAAGUACAGUAGUAACUGGCUGUACCUUGACGGUACCUUAUUAGAAAGCCACGGCAAACUACGUCCCAGCAGCCGCGGUAAUACGUAGGUGGCAAGCGUUGUUCGGAAUUAUUGGGGGUAAAGCGCGCGAAGGUGGUUUCUUAAGUCUGAUGUGGAAGCCCACGGCUCAACCGUGGAGGGUCAUUGGAAACUGGGAGACUUGAGUGCAGAAGAGGAUAGUGGAAUUCCAAGUGUAGCGGUGAAAUGCGUAGAGAUUUGGAGGAACACCAGUGGCGAAGGCGACUAUCUGGUCUGUAACUGACACUGAGGCGCGAAAGCGUGGGGAGCAAACA